rnacentral:lncRNA from 1 species
UGAUUACCUUUAUUAGUCUGCUAAUAAGAAAAGGAGAAUGUAUUUAAUGAUCUGCAACUUGAUCUAACCCAAGGAGAGUGGAGGUGAGGCGCUGCCUUCUACGUUUAGAACUUGUGAAGUUUCCCCUCUAAGACUCUGUUCUGUUUUUUUCAAAAGUGUUCCUGUUUUCUGGGUACCGAUGGAUGAAUCCCUAAAGGAUACAUUUACAGCCUGAUGAACAACAGGUUGAUCGGACCUCACGGGAAGAUACAUUUGAUCUCCAAAUAUGUCUCUCAUAGCAUCAGUGUCCCGAUGAGUGUCUUUUUGAGGAACGCUGAUGGGUUGUAGCAUGAAACUAUGCCGGGACUCCAACUCUAUCAAACCAUUUCCACUGAAAUCCAUAUCAAAACGGUCUGAUUCUUUAUCCUCUAUCCAUUUUUCAGCUUGAUUAUUUCUCCAGUGUGCAUCAUUCAAACUACUUUUUUCAGGAAUAUCGUUGUUUAAUUCAAGUUUUCUCUCCUGACUUAAAUUCAUGGUACUCAAAGCUAGGGCUGCAAAGUCUGUUGGCACAAUAAGCUGCAAUUCUUCUCCAGUCAGGCCGCUCGCCUCUUCUGCAGAAGACAUUUCCGCUGAGGUUGAUGUAGAUGAUUCGUCUCCGUCCCUGUUGCUUUGAGCAAUGUUAGCCUUGUCUGUUUUAUUUUGCUUGUAGUAACUGUUCAGCAGUGCAAACAUUCUAUCUACAUCCUUCAAGUAAUUAGUCCAGUCAGCCAGACUAAGUCUAUAGUUGUAUCUGUGUUCAUAUACACUUUCAUUCACUCUGUACAAGUCUUCCAGUCCUUGCCAGUUGAUGUCACCAGUGAAACUGGGCAGGUUAGCCUUCCCAUCCAUCCCAUAAUUGUCCUCUGUGCGGAUCAUAGCUUCCUCCAUCUUUAUUUCCUGUUUCAAGUCCCUUAGGCCUUGGAUUGCACUGCUUAUAACCUUGACAACUUCUCAGUUCCAUCAACUGUACAUGUAAUUGAUUUAAAAUGCCUCUUUCCACUGUAUGUACGGUAUUCGUCAGCUGAUAGGGAUCAGUGUUCAUAUCAAAAUAUUCCAAGAAGCCAGUUGCAAACUCACAGAAGAGAAAAUUGUGGGUGUCAUUCACUGUUCUCAAACACCAGUAGGUGUUGUUAUUUGAGCUUGUGCAAGCACAGAAAGAUCCCAAGCUCCAGAAGGGUGCAGUUUGCCAGUGGUUGUUGUCAUGGGUAAAACAUGUCAGUCCAGGAAGGCUACACUCAUCCCCUUUCUUCUGGCGCUUUUUCCCCUUCCUUUCCUUCUUCCGUCUGCGAUUCUCUUUGAACAACUGCAGUUUGCUGUCUACCUCCUGUGCAGCUUCUUUGAAGGGAUGAAGAUGGCUCUUGAUUUUCUCUUGGGCCUUUGCGCCUUUCUCUUUGUUGUAGUAGCUCUGUUUAGUACAGUCACAUUCAUCUGGUUUUCUUCUUUUUAGGUGUCCUCUAACUUCCCUCAAAUUCUUGAUUUUGUCCUGGAGAGCUUCAAUCUCCUUAUCAAUGUAAGCCUUGUGGUCCUUCCAGGCUCUGGCAGAUUGGUACAGCUCCCUCUCACAGUGAAUAGUGUCAUUUGGAAGAAUAAAACACUUGUGCGUCACUCUGACAGAACUGGGUUGACCUAUAGCAUCAGUGCCAUCAGCAACCAUCGUGUCACCGGGAGCACCAUCAGUUUCCUCUGCUUUUUUGUCAUUUUCAGCAUUGUGACGUUUGGUGAUACUUCUGGUCUUUAACACCUGCAGUUCUUCCUCUUCCAGGUUUAUGUCAUAUAUUUCACCUUCAAAUUCCACAGACAAGGAUCGGGUUUGGCGAGUGUGAACAAAACGUGGUUUGUAUUUUUGCGCACUGGGGUUUCUCAGAAACUGUCUUUGACUUUUUCUUUGGGUCCUGCUGUUUCGGAAAUCGGUGUCUCCACAGUUGCAGUCCUUAUCUUUACCACUGUAUCCCCGGGAGUGGAUGCUGCGGGCCCUCUUCCUGAUGGCCAGGAUGUCACUAGAUACCUUGCACUUGUGAAUUCGGAGCUUGCCAGAAGCAUCUUCUGUGCACUGCCACUUCUGUCCUGGUUGUUCACAGGCUGUCUGGUAUCUUGCUUGUUGGCAUAAUUCUUUUACCCUCUCAUAUUUUGGCAGUUGAUUAGAUUGCUGAGUGUUUUUAUUAGCUUCCUCUUUCUUGCGUAGAAAUUUGCCUCUUUCCACCAGGAAUGUGUCACGCCAGAUUUUGGUCUUCUUGUUUGUUCGAAACCUAUUUCCUGGUCUUUCCAAGUCUAGAAGCUUUAGGACAGAUUUGCCAUCCAUAUCUGGAGGUGUGUCAAGUCCUGCAAUAUCCAGAAUUGUUGGUGCAAGAUCAAUAUUCAGAACUAUCUGAGGCACUACUGAUCCUGGCUCUACACUUGGACCACGAAUAAAGAAAGGAACUCGAAUAUCAAAGUCAUAUGGCAUUGACUUCCCCUUGACCAGUCCAAACUGCCCGAUAUGGUAACCAUGGUCAGCAGUGUAAAUAAUGUAGGUAUUCUCCAGCUCUCCCAUUUCUGCAAGCAUUUGGUAUAAUCUUUCCAUAGAGUCAUCAACUGACAUCAGGGUCUGAAGUCUCUUCCGUUGCAAGACGUUUGUAAACUCCAUGUGGAUAGGCAGCAUGGGCCCCGUGUACUGCAUGAUCCAGUGCUUAUCCAUGUUUGGUGCGUAAUUAUAGCUGGGAGUGAUAUGCUGCGAAGCGUUGGGGUAGAGCUCUGAGAACUGUGGGGCCGAAUCCUCGGGGCCAUGAGGCGCAGCGUGGCUGAUGACCAUCAUUAUGGGCCUAUGCGGAUAUAUCCUCUUGGACAUUCUGAAGUAAUUAAUGCUCUCAUUAGUGAUUAGGUCUGUGAAGUAGUCCUUUGCAUAAUCAAAUCCAUGCUUCUCUUUGUUACCAUUGCGAGAAAUGGUGUAAUUAUAGAAGCGAGAGUUCUUCACUAAUCCAACCCACUCUCUCC